rnacentral:rRNA from 1 species
UACGUAGGAGGCGAGCGUUGUCCGGAUUUACUGGGCGUAAAGCGUCCGCAGGUGGCACUUCAAGUCUGUCGUCAAAGACUGGGGCUUAACCCUGGAAAGGCGGUGGAAACUGAAGCGCUAGAGUGCGGUAGGGGUAGAGGGAAUUCCCGGUGUAGCGGUGAAAUGCGUAGAGAUCUGGAGGAACACCGAUGGCGAAGGCAGCCUUCUGGGCCAACACUGACGCUCAUGCACGAAAGCGUGGGUAGCAAACAGG